GAUAAAACCUGUAGAAGAUAUGCAUAACACCACCUUUCAACUGCCUAGAGGGUUGGAGGCUGAUCCAAAAACAAUAAAAAUUACAGGUAAAAGAAAAGAAGCAAAAGAGAAGAUAAUAUGGCACUCAGAAUGUGGGCUUCUUCCACAGCCAAUGCACUAAGAAUCUCUGUUGCCUCCAAAGCUCGGCUUUCUCCAUACUCUUUCUCAAGAUGCUUCUCUGCUGUUAUUGAUGGACUUAAGUAUGCAACUUCACAUGAAUGGGUGAAGCAUGAAGGCUCGGUUGCUACCAUUGGCAUCACUGAUCAUGCUCAGGUUUAUAUUCUUUUUCUUUCACCAUUAUAUUAAUUUUCUUGGUUACCAGAUCAGAUUAAUAAUUAACAUUUAGGGGGAAAUCCAGAAAGCAAUGCAAAAUCAACAACAAUUUAGUGGGUUUGAUUUAUUUUAUUUUUUUAAGCUGCUCUUUUGUUGAUGAAAUUUUGGAUGGUCGCGUCACCGGUCGUUCGAAAAUUGUUCAGAUGGGUAAGGUGUGGCCAAACCAUGACCACACAAGUUAAAAUUUGUAUUUUAGACUAACAUUUUUUGGGAAGUGAGGAGGGAGUGAGGGAUAUGGGCUAAAGAGGAGUAGAAUUGAAACCCAAGCCAAUAGGAGACAAAUUAAGCAAGAAACCCCAUGAAAUAUAUGGCAUGUACUCUUUGCAGGACCAUCUGGGAGAAGUUGUGUUUGUGGAUCUGCCAGAAGUUGGUACUUCAGCCACUCAAGGCAAGAGCUUUGGCGCAGUGGAGAGUGUGAAAGCUACCAGUGAUAUCAAUUCUCCCAUCUCCGGUGAGAUUGUUGAGGUUAACUCAAAGCUUAGUGAAUCACCUGGGGCGGUGAGUCUCCAAAUCAAAACCCUUAUAUUUCAAUUUCUUUUUAUUAAGCUCCGAAUUCAAAUUCAAAUGACUCCAACAGCACUGAAUUAAAACUCGAUAGCCUUACUCUUUUAACUUAUAUAAAUGUUGUUUAAUAUGUUCAUCUAAUUUCAAUCUUUUUUUUUUUUCUAUGAUGGAAGAUUAAUUCAAGUCCUUAUGAAGAAGGAUGGAUGAUCAAGGUGAAGCCAAGCAAUCCAUCGGAGUUAGAAUCCUUAUUGGGUCCAAAAGAAUACACAAAAUUCUGUGAGGAAGAAGAUGCUGCUCAUUAGAAUUUGAACAAGCUUGCAUAUUUUCUCUUGGACUUACUUGUUUUAGAACUAUUUGAAGUCCCAGUUCUUCCCUUUUAUGUUGUGCAUGUUUCUGCAACUUCGUAUAACUAAGAUAUGCAUAUAUGUUUAGUUAUAAUUCUUGGUAUAGAAAUUUUUUUUUUUGGUUCAAAA
rnacentral:misc_RNA from 1 species